rnacentral:rRNA from 1 species
UACGGAGGAUCCGAGCGUUAUCCGGAUUUAUUGGGUUUAAAGGGUGCGCAGGCGGGAGAUUAAGUCGGCGGUGAAAUUUUGCAGCUCAACUGUAAAAGUGCCUUCGAAACUGGUUUCCUUGAGUGUAGAUGAAGUAGGCGGAAUUUGUGGUGUAGCGGUGAAAUGCAUAGAUAUCACGAGGAACUCCGAUUGCGCAGGCAGCUUACUAAACUACUACUGACGCUCAGGCACGAAGGCGUGGGGAUCAAACAGGAUUAGAUACCACGGUA